GAUGAACGCUGGCGGCGUGCCUAAUACAUGCAAGUCGAGCGAACAGACGAGGAGCUUGCUCCUCUGACGUUAGCGGCGGACGGGUGAGUAACACGUGGAUAACCUACCUAUAAGACUGGGAUAACUUCGGGAAACCGGAGCUAAUACCGGAUAAUAUAUUGAACCGCAUGGUUCAAUAGUGAAAGACGGUUUUGCUGUCACUUAUAGAUGGAUCCGCGCCGGAUUAGCUAGUUGGUAAGGUAACGGCUUACCAAGGCAACGAUGCGUAGCCGCCCUGAGAGGGUGAUCGGCCACACUGGAACUGAGACACGGUCCAGACUCCUACGGGAGGCAGCAGUAGGGAAUCUUCCGCAAUGGGCGAAAGCCUGACGGAGCAACGCCGCGUGAGUGAUGAAGGUCUUCGGAUCGUAAAACUCUGUUAUUAGGGAAGAACAAAUGUGUAAGUAACUAUGCACGUCUUGACGGUACCUAAUCAGAAAGCCACGGCUAACUACGUG
rnacentral:rRNA from 1 species